rnacentral:tRNA from 1 species
GCCGAGAUGGCGGAAUGGGUAGACGCGGCGGACUCAAAAUCCGCUGUUAGCGAUAACAUGAGGGUUCGAGUCCCUCUCUCGGCA